GAAAAACACUAAUUAUUUUCCGUAUUUUUAAUUCCCAUGGGAAUACACAUGCUUUGUUUUUAUGUUGAUUUCAUAGCGGAACUUGAUAUUAUAAUGAAUCCUCUUUGACUAAAUACAAUACGUAUCUUGUUACUUUCGGGUUUGUUUUAGCAAGGGACGAUUAGGAGUAAUUGAGAGCAGCUACGACGUACCAUGCAAAUGAUAAGGCGUUCCGGUUAAACGAGUAUGAGAAUUGCGGAUAAGUAUUUAAUAUUUCGAUGCGUAUGCACUAUAUAGAUAAACUGUGCUAUAUGGCCAUUAAUUAAAACAUGGUAAUUUCCGUUUGGAUUCAAAAUGCUAUAGUUCAACAGCUAAAGACAAUUAUAAGUCUUCUUUUGA
rnacentral:lncRNA from 1 species